rnacentral:miRNA from 1 species
UUAACCGCACCCUUCUGAGUAGA